CCUACGGGAGGCAGCAGUAGGGAAUCUUCCACAAUGGACGAAAGUCUGAUGGAGCAACGCCGCGUGAGCGAAGAAGGUUUUCGGAUCGUAAAGCUCUGUUGCGAGGGAAGAACAAGUACGGGAGUAACUGUCCGUGCCUUGACGGUACCUCGUCAGAAAGCCACGGCUAACUACGUGCCAGCAGCCGCGGUAAUACGUAGGUGGCAAGCGUUGUCCGGAAUUAUUGGGCGUAAAGCGCGCGCAGGCGGUCCUUUAAGUCUGAUGUGAAAGCCCACGGCUCAACCGUGGAGGGUCAUUGGAAACUGGAGGACUUGAGUACAGAAGAGGAAAGCGGAAUUCCACGUGUAGCGGUGAAAUGCGUAGAGAUGUGGAGGAACACCAGUGGCGAAGGCGGCUUUCUGGUCUGUAACUGACGCUGAGGCGCGAAAGCGUGGGGAGCAAACAGGAUUAGAUACCCUGGUAGUCCACGCCGUAAACGAUGAGUGCUAAGUGUUAGGGGGUUUCCGCCCCUUAGUGCUGCAGCUAACGCAUUAAGCACUCCGCCUGGGGAGUACGGCCGCAAGGCUGAAACUCAAAGGAAUUGACGGGG
rnacentral:rRNA from 1 species